AUGGCUUCCCCUCUCUCCCUGUAUUUCUGCUGGCCCUUUUUUUCUUUUUCUUUGCCUGAAGUCUCGCUGCCGGCAGCCUUCUAUCUGUGGGUGCGCGAGGAGCGGUGCAGACAGCGGCGCUCGGGAGCAGCCGAGAGGGGGCAGAGCACACGCGCCAGGCCCAUCUCAACCCCACUCACGGACCGGCACAGCCCCCGCACUGCCGCUCUCCGUGCUCCCCGGGCCGGGGUUUCCUCCUCCGCGGUGCCGAGGCCUCGCCGUGUGGCGAAGCCCGGCCCGGCCCCGGCCCGGCGGGGGAAGAUGAGCGCGGGGCGCCGGGCCGCCGCUGGGGGCGCUGCGCGCCGCCGGGCCGGGGCCGGGCCGCGGACGGGGCCAUUCGCGCGGCGAGCGCGGGGGGAGCGCGGCGCCGGGAGCUCUCCGGGAGCGCCCCGCGGGCGGCGGGCGCGGCGGGGGCGGCGGCGAGGGGGGGCCGAGGGGCCCAGCGGGGGGCGACGCCCGGCGCGGGGGCGGCGGGGCGGGGCGGCGGCGGCGGCGGCGCCGGCGGGAGGGCGGGGGGGGGGGGCGCAGUGGUUGGGGCCGGCUGCGGCCGCCGCGGCGGCGGGGUCAGUUCUCUUUAGUGUUUGCCGAUGUUGGAGGCGUCUCCAAAGUGUUCCCGGGAAGCAGAAGAACCUGAUCAGAGGUAUUUUAAUGACUGGACCAAGUUUAAAUAAGCAUGUAUGACUGAUGUGGUGGGGAAGGACCUAACACUGCAUUUUUUCGGGAUUAACUGAAACAGCAUAACUUCUGUUAAUGAGCCACCAGAGCUUCACUUUUCCUUCCACUGCUGGCAUUCAUUUCCUAUCACCAACAGCAAAAUCUAUAGGAAAAGAGGCCCGUCUUUUGCCAGAACCUAUUAUUUUGCAUUUCUAAUCUUUGGAUCACACAUAGCCCGUAUUUUUCCCAAUAGUUCUUGAAUUCUCUCUCUCCUCUGAAAAGAAGAAAAGAAAGACAGGGGGUUCUGUUUGGUUGAGGGGCACGAAGAGCACAAGGCAGGGGUCCUGCAGAACCAGGUCAUGGAGUUGGGCUGGCGGUUUUGCUUAGAAGGAAAGGACAGUAAAAGAGGGGGAAUUGAAUCAGUGGGAGUGCAUGACAAACUCUGUGAAGAGAGGAAGUGGAACCUGUGUGCAGUGUAGUUAAUACACAUGUACAGUUAAUAUAUAUAUAUAUAUAAAAAGUCAAGCGCUAUGCAUUUAGGGGAUCUGCUCAUUGUCAGCACUGAGUCACAAUCAGCAUUAUCCAAAGUAUGUUUGCAUUAAAAGAUCAAGAGUUCAGUAAGAAUCUGAGAGAUGUCUUCUCAGACAUUGUUCUGGAAAAUAUUUAGAAUAAAAAAAUUGCUUGUCACAACUCCUAAUUUAAAAAUGAAUUUUGAAAAGCCAUCUGUGGUAGUGUAACACUAAAGUCACAGCCAUGUCUGUAGCUGCUAAAGUUUGUUCAUACUUCAUCUCAAGAGAAAGUGUUUUGUGGUUUGGGUUUUGUUUUGUGGGUCUUUUUUGUUAAACUGGUAGUUUUUGGAAUGUUUCCCAGUAAUUAAAUGUGUACUCCAUGGUCACAGUGUGUUUACCUGUGUCAUACUCCAUCCUUGCUUUUGCUUUAGUCAACUACACAUCUGUACAGUACAUCACUAGAAUGUUACAAAUUUAUUUAUAUUUAACCAAAUAAAAUCACAGUAUGAAAUUUAAAUUUUUCCCUGGUAAAUAGCACUUUUUUUUCCAUAUUUAAUUACUAAUAUUGUGACUCCACUACACUUCUGUAUCCCCACAAUCUUCUAAUUUAGUCACCAUUAAAAUGAUGGAAGGGGGCACUUUUUAGACUGGUUAGAACUCAGCUUUGAGCUCAGAUCCCUGUUGGUGUUUGGGGAGGUCCCUGGUGAUAACCAGCAGCCAAUUAUGUCAAGUAUGGGUUAACCUCCUCUCCUUAAAUUCUGGGAGAACUUAGCUUGCUGAGAUUUUUACCAUAGUAGCACAUGCUCACUUGAAGGGUAUAUUUACGGUCUUAUCUUCUGAAAACUUCCAAAGGAUCACAGUGGUCCCACUUCCAGUUUCGCUGCUUGCCAGCUUUGAGGAAGCUGUUUUGCCUCCAGGCUGAAGGAAACAUUUUUGAGAGUAGGAGACCAGAUUUUCUUGAAAAGUUUCUUGCAAUGAAAAUGGUCACCUGUUGGAUCAAGAAAAGAGAUGAGUAACCUGAUUUUUAUUGCUAUUGCUAGUCUUAGCUUCUUAUUUUGCACCUGUUAGGUAUUUGCGGUUCUCAGUUUCUCCUACAAUGGCCCCAGUUUAAAAAAGCCGUGUUCUGCAAAUAUAAGGAAAUAUCAGUAUACUAAAUGUGCAGAUUGAUAUCAGUAACUGGAAAUGUCUGGAUAAGUAACUGUCUGCAAGUGAUAAAGAACUUUUUCCAUGUCACCCAGAUGACACAUCCAUGCAACUGAUCCAUUUUGAAGGAUGAAGUCAAGAUAAUGCUAUUCCCAAGGUGGAAAUGCAGGCCUGGUAGAGGGCAAUGUUGGGUCACUUAGAAGCGUACCCAGUUGGUCUGAUACAAACAAAAUAAUAAUGAAAUAACACUCUGUAGUAGCUUUGGCUUUGUUAGACAAGGUAAGAGCAAGAAACAAUCUAAAAUUUCUUGUUAACUGUUAGUUGGUUUAUUUGUUUUAUUUUUUCCCCUUCUGGUGGUCCUUCUUCAGUCCUGAAUACUAUGUUGCUUUUUCCUUUCCAGACUGUGGAAAAUAUUUUCUCUGCUUUUUGUUUCAGUCUUGUGUCUCUGGUAGUAUUUAAACCUGCCUGCUUUGAAUUGUGUUUCAUCUUUGGUGGCAAUGUCCGUUCAAGGGGGUAUUUUGCUUAAGAGUGUAUACCCAAGAGGCU
rnacentral:lncRNA from 1 species